GAGCACGUAGGUGGGUUUGUCGCGUCGUCUGUGAAAUUCCGGGGCUUAACUCCGGGCGUGCAGGCGAUACGGGCAUAACUUGAGUACUGUAGGGGUAACUGGAAUUCCUGGUGUAGCGGUGAAAUGCGCAGAUAUCAGGGGGAACACCGAUGGCGAAGGCAGGUUACUGGGCAGUUACUGACGCUGAGGAGCGAAAGCAUGGGUAGCGAACAGGAUUAGAUACCCUGGUAGUCCAUGCCGUAAACGGUGGGCACUAAGUAGAGGGG
rnacentral:rRNA from 1 species